UACAGAGGGGGGCAAGCGUUGUUCGGAAUUACUGGGCGUAAGGGCGCGUAGGUGGCCUUCUAAGUCGAACGUGAAAUCCCUGGGCUCAACCCAGGAACUGCGUCCGAGACUGGGAGGCUUGAAUCCGGGAGAGGGAUGCGGAAUUCCACGUGUAGCGGUGAAAUGCGUAGAGAUGUGGAGGAACACCAGUGGCGAAGGCGGGUCUCUGGGCCUUACCUGACGCUGAGGAGCGAAAGCGUGGGGAGCGAACAGG
rnacentral:rRNA from 1 species